rnacentral:rRNA from 1 species
GACGAACGCUGGCGGCGUGCUUAACACAUGCAAGUCGAACGGAAAGGCCCUGCUUUUGUGGGGUGCUCGAGUGGCGAACGGGUGAGUAACACGUGAGUAACCUGCCCUUGACUUUGGGGUAACUUCAGGAAACUGGGGCUCAUACCGGAUCGGAGGUCCUGAUGCGUGGUGGGGGUUGGAAAGUUUCGGCGGUUGGGGAUGGAGGCGCGGCUUAUCAGCUUGGUGGUGGGGUAGUGGCUUACCAAGGAUUUGACGGGUAGCCGGCCUGGGAGGGUGGCCGGCCACAUUGGGACUGAGAUACGGCCCAGACUCCUACGGGAGGCAGCAGUGGGGAAUAUUGCACAAUGGGCGGAAGCCUGAUGCAGCAACGCCGCGUGCGGGAUGACGGCCUUCGGGGUGUAAACCGCUUUCGCCUGUGACGAAGCGUGAGUGACGGUAAUGGGUAAAGAAGCACCGGCUAACUACGUG